UACUGAAAUUGUUUUCAUUGAUGAAACAUUCUACUAGUACAACAAGAAAUGCAUAAAAGCCCCUCAGAGCUUUUCGUUGCUACUCCCACUAAUUUCCCUUUGCCUUAGACUCUAUGAAAGGCAAACAAACCUUAGUGGGAGCAGCAAAAAGAAGCAUAAGAUAACGGGGUAUACUAAAAUUGGUUUACGGAUAUAGUACAAACUAUGUUACAUGAGUACGUCAAUUGUGUCCUGACGUACCCGUGUCUAAAGGGUGUUCAAAAAUUGCACGUAUUCGUGCCACAGAUACUUAACACACACCAAAUGUAUUAUUACGCAGACCAUACCCGUAACCAAGUGAAUUAAAACAGCAACUUAGGCUGAUGCUCUAUUCAACCAUCUAGAGGUUUUUGCCUUUUGAGGAGCAAUCAGUUCCAGAGCAUGUUGCAUAACCAUUACUCAAACUCAUGAAAACUCAUGAUCUAUAUUUCACACGGAGCUAAUUUACCAUUACUCAAACUCAUGACGUAUAGGUCACACAGAGAAAAUUAGGCUUAGAAAAAAGCUACUGAAAUUGUUUUCAUUGAUGAAACAUUCUACUAGUACAACAAGAAAUGCAUAAAAGCCCCUCAGAGCUUUUCGUUGCUACUCCCACUAAUUUCCCUUUGCCUUAGACUCUAUGAAAGGCAAACAAACCUUAGUGGGAGCAGCAAAAAGAAGCAUAAGAUAACGGGGUAUACUAAAAUUGGUUUACGGAUAUAGUACAAACUAUGUUACAUGAGUACGUCAAUUGUGUCCUGACGUACCCGUGUCUAAAGGGUGUUCAAAAAUUGCACGUAUUCGUGCCACAGAUACUUAACACACACCAAAUGUAUUAUUACGCAGACCAUACCCGUAACCAAGUGAAUUAAAACAGCAACUUAGGCUGAUGCUCUAUUCAACCAUCUAGAGGUUUUUGCCUUUUGAGGAGCAAUCAGUUCCAGAGCAUGUUGCAUACACUUGCGAUACGAGAAGUCUUCAACUGAUCCAUCUGAACGCACCAACAUAAAGCAGCGGGAAUCUUCAUACUCUUUGU
rnacentral:lncRNA from 1 species